rnacentral:piRNA from 1 species
UAAGCGGAACCUAGAUCCAUUCCUCCUCAC